UAUUAUGUUUUAGGUCAACGUAUCGUUUCAAUUAUUUUCCAGGAACCUCUUCUUCAAGCUCUCAUAUUACUUUCUGUUUUCCACUCAAUUUUUUCAAAUUUGUUUUCAGAUUUGAUUUCAAAUUUCAUUCUUGUUUUCCCUCGUAAACCAAUUCCAAACAUAUUUUGAUUUUCACCUUAUAGUUUGAAUCGAUUUCCACCGUUGAAACCCAAAUCGGUUUUGACAUUCAUCUCCAAAAUCGAUUUCGAAUUUGACCACCAAAAUUACUUUCGACUUUCAUCUCUAUAAUCGAAAUCGAUUCUACUGUCAUCUCUAAAAUCAAAAUUAGCUUUCCUCAAAACCGAAAUCAAACCCCUGGAUCUGCCGAAAUUGAAAUUAUCGAGUUUGAAUUCAAAGUUCUUCCCUCUUUUUGUUAUCACUUGUCCCAACUCCGGCAGCUUGAUUGGAUGGAAGAUAGAUCUCUUGAUCAAGUAUUAAUAAUUGUAAAAGCUCACACAAACUCUUCCAGAUAGCUUUUUGUUGAUGUUAACAGAAGGUCCAAGAUAAAGAUAUACUAUAUAGAUGUUAUAGAAAAAUGUUAAUUAGGAUGGUUGAAUUAUUUAAGUUAUAUGAGUUUUAAUAUUGGAGUUCUACAUGUUUUAAGUUUGUUGUAGUUCUAAGACUGGGUUUAAUCAGAUUGUAGGCUGAUUUUGUAGUUUUAUGAUUGUAAUAUUUGUUGAUGUACAUGGAUAAUGUUCUUUUGCAGUAUAUUUGUACAUAUAAUGACUUGAAGGUUUAAUGUACUGUUCGAAAAGAGAAACUUAAGAAUUUUAAAUGUCUCUUUGGAUAAAACAAAUCUAAAAGAGAAAGUUAAGAAUUUUAAAUGGCUAUUUGGUUAAAACAAAUUUCCAAGUUUGUAGUUUUUAAUUUUGUUACUAAACAUUUGAAAUCCUCCAAUGAUUAAAAAUCUAAAAAAGUAAGAUAGAUUAUCUAUUUUUCUGCUUUUACGUUGUUGGUUAUAUGUGGUUUUGUGGAUUCAAGGCUUAAAAUAAUUAUCAUUUUGUAUCCUGUCCCUAUAAAAUGUUUAGGGGUCGUUUAUA